UCUGCCUUUCAGUGUGACUCUACUUUUUGACCCUUCUGAAUUUGAUCUUUUGAGCCUUUUUUAUAUGCCCUAUUUGUUAUUUUCUCCUGAAAGUGAUCAACUCUUUGCACUUAUCAACGCUACCUUCAAGCCUAGAUAACGUCAGCGGGAAAGUUCCAGAAUCUACUCAGAUAUAUAAGGACCUGAACAAUCUUUCUUGACCAGAGGAUCAUUUUCUCCAAAGGUAAAAUGAAGAAAAAAGGAACUUUCUAAGAUCCAGGCAAUGGUUGCAGAUAAAACCUACAGUGAAAAAGCAGUGGUUGACAGCUACUCCGAGGUCUAGAGAACUGGAAGAGAUGCCUUGGAAUGAUAAUAGCUAGAUAUAUGAAUUGAUUCUUUCUAUAAUUGAAUAAAAUUGCCUCUAUUCUAAGUCUGCAACGGACUAUUUGACAAUGUA